rnacentral:tRNA from 1 species
GCCUUCUUAGCUCAGUGGUAGAGCGUUGGUCUCGUAUAACAAUAAUUAACGUAAGAAAACCAAAGGCCGAGAGUUCAAUCCUCUCAGGAGGCA